CACAGGGCUUACUCGCAAAGCUUUACGAAACCCUAAGGCGCAAUGAAAGUGAAGGUCAGGCUUCGCACUGACCGUAGGCAGGAUCCGUCCGGGUGAGCGAAGCUCUUCUUCCUUUUGCGGGUGCAAUCUCCGUCUGGUGAGCUCUGGCGGCGCACUGCCGGCCCAUCUCAGCCGCUUCAUGUCGGCGAGGUGGAGCCAGAGCGCACACGUUGGGACCCGAAAGAUGGUGAACUAUGCUCGGGCAGGACGAAGCCAGAGGAAACUCUGGUGGAGGUCCGUAGCGAUUCUGACGUGCAAAUCGAUCGUCGGACCCGAGUAUAGGGGCGAAAGACUAAUCGAACCGUCUAGUAGC
rnacentral:rRNA from 1 species